rnacentral:rRNA from 1 species
UCGCCCGCCGCGCCCCGCGCCCGUCCCGCCGCCCCCGCCCGCUCCUACGGGAGGCAGCAGUGAGGAAUAUUGGUCAAUGGGCGCGAGCCUGAACCAGCCAAGUCGCGUGAGGGAUGACGGCCCUACGGGUUGUAAACCUCUUUUGUCGGGGAGCAAAUUCCGCCACGUGUGGCGGAGUCGAGAGUACCCGAAGAAAAAGCAUCGGCUAACUCCGUGCCAGCAGCCGCGGUAAUACA